rnacentral:tRNA from 1 species
GGAGAUGUGUCCGAGUGGUUUAAGGUGACUGACUUGAAAUCAGUUGUGCGGAAACGCACCGUGGGUUCAAAUCCUACCAUCUCCGCCA